GCUCUACGAUGGAAUGCAAAACAUUAAUACCUCUGUUCUUACGUAAUGGAAUGUCUUCGAUUACUUAAAAGCUCGUGUCGCGGCAAAAAGCGGCUAUUGAAACGAUAAUGCAUUAUAUACUUUCUAGGUUAUGUAUGCAUCGGUAGUGGAUUAACAUUUUCAGUGAUGCUCAGAAACAGUGAUCGUAUAUAAUAAAUUUGAUGAUUCUUUUUAUUCAUCGAAAUAUUAUAUAAAAUAUAUGAAAGUGUAUAUUAAAUAUAUAUAUAUAUAUAUAUAUAUAUAUAUAUAUAGAAAAAAUAUUAAUUAGUGAAUUCAUUGUUGAAUUUAAAAAUUUUGAUUUUGAAACAUUUUCUAUUAAAAAUAAUAGAAUCAAUACUUAAAAAACAAGAUUUUAAUUAAAGUUACAUACGGUUUACCACCCGGAAUAUUGCUUAUUCCAUUAGCUGAUGGUAGGAUGGUCCUCACAUGACCGUCGAAGCCGAGCUGUAAUAGAGAAAAAAAUGUAUCAACGUUUGGUUAAACUUGUAAUUAAAUACAUCACUAGAAAGAGUACUUAUGUUGAAUAAAUUGAGAGAUAUAAAUUUAGAGAUAUAAUAUUCAACAAAGAUAUAUAUAUAUAUAUAUACAUACAUACAAAAUAAAAGAAAUAGAGAAACAAAAAUACUUUGUAUGUUAAAAUUUAAGCUUUAUUAUGAUAUUCCUGGAUUACGAUAUUUUUGAUAACUCAAUUUCUAAAAUAUUUUAAUAUUUAAAUAUCACAAAAUAAAUAUUUCAAAAUUUAUAUCAAAAAUAUUUAACAAAUACAUUAAAGUUAUCAAUAA